UUUUAUGGUGUAUCUAACACGUUGGUUUUUCAUGCCAAAGUUAAAUUUAAAUUUUAAAAGAU
rnacentral:tRNA from 1 species